CAGUCGCCACGGUAAUACGAAGGGUGCAAGCGUUACUCGGAAUUACUGGGCGUAAAGCGUGCGUAGGUGGUGGUUUAAGUCCGUUGUGAAAGCCCUGGGCUCAACCUGGGAAUUGCAGUGGAUACUGGGUCACUAGAGUGUGGUAGAGGAUAGUGGAAUUUCCGGUGUAGCAGUGAAAUGCGUAGAGAUCGGAAGGAACAUCUGUGGCGAAGGCGACUAUCUGGGUCAACACUGACACUGAGGCACGAAAGCGUGGGGAGCAAACAGGAUUAGAGACCCGCGUAGUCCCUGUCUCUUAUAC
rnacentral:rRNA from 1 species